UGCCUACCCAGGGCUGCUCACGGCACAGGAACAACUGCUUCUCAACCGCAUGAAUAAUUCUACAUUCCAAUCUUAUCUCCCUCUUGCUGCUCUGGGAAAGGUAUCUGGCCCUACAAAUUACUCUGGAGAAAAGGGAAAUGUACCGGAUGGUUUCUUCCUGGGAAAAUAAAUGGAACAUAAACUGAUGGAGUGUGGUAUCACUGCUUUAAGGAGAAGCUGGAGCAGACGAUGUUGAAGUGAGGUCCUGAGCACCCCUUUCCCAGUGGAGGUACCAGGGUAGGAGACUCACAAUCAUCUCCCAUCGUCACUUCCACUCCUGAGAGAUAAGGGGCACACCGGUAUCACGGUCACAAGCACGAAUGAAGCUUGUGUAGACGUACCUGAGCUUAGUUCAGAAAUACAGGCUUGACCUUCAAGAGUUCCUGCUAAUUUGUUCAGUGUUCAUACAGUAUGCAGCAUAGGGGGCCGCCAUCCAUUACUAUGCCUCCCAGGUGCUGCCGCAAUACAGAUUUCAGCCACCUUUGCUUUUGUCUGGGCACCUUUAUCAGUGCAGCUGAAGGGAACCCUGUGUGGGCUGUGAAUUCCUCUCCAAAAACUGUGUAAAUACUUGGACAGUUACUUGAUGCUGGUCCCUGAGCUGCUGCUGCUAGUAUUAAACUAACUAGUUAAAGCCGGUUUGCACACAUUUGCAGCUACAGCAGAAGUCAAAUGAUAAAUAUUCCCAAAUGUAGCUAUGCAAAUAGUGGCAAAUUCUGAAUAAAUGUAUGAAAUGCAUUAUAGUAGUCACAAAUUCUUCUCUUUUUCCUUUAAUUAAAAACAAAAGACAAAUUUUGCUUUA